GGGAUAUAGCUCAGUUGGUAGAGUGCUUGCUUAGCAUGCACAAGGCCCUAGGUUCAAUCCCUGGUCCCA
rnacentral:tRNA from 1 species